rnacentral:rRNA from 1 species
CCAGACUCCUACGGGAGGCAGCAGUGAGGAAUAUUGGUCAAUGGGCGCGAGCCUGAACCAGCCAAAUCGCGUGAGGGAUGACGGUCCUAUGGAUUGUAAACCUCUUUUGUCAGGGAGCAAAGGGCGCCACGUGUGGCGUUUUGCGAGUACCUGAAGAAAAAGCAUCGGCUAACUCCGUGCCAGCAGCCGCGGUAAUACGGAGGAUGCGAGCGUUAUCCGGAUUUAUUGGGUGUAAAGGGUGCGUAGACGGGUAUAUAAGUUAGUUGUGAAAUCCCUCGGCUCAACUGAGGAACUGCAACUAGAACUGUAAAUCUUGAGUGCGGGAGAGGAAAGUGGAAUUCCUAGUGUAGCGGUGAAAUGCGUAGAUAUUAGGAGGAACACCAGUGGCGAAGGCGACUUUCUGGACCGUAACUGACGUUGAGGCACGAAAGUGUGGGGAGCAAACAGGAUUAGAUACCCGGGUAA